UAGUCCACGCCGUAAACGAUGAUAACUCGUUGUUGGCGAUACACAGUCAGCGACUGAGCGAAAGCAUUAAGUUAUCCACCUGGGGAGUACGUUCGCAAGAAUGAAACUCAAAGGAAUUGACGGGGGCCCGCACAAGCGGAGGAACAUGUGGUUUAAUUCGAUGAUACGCGAGGAACCUUACCUGGGCUUAAAUGGGAGAUGAAUGAUUUGGAAACAGAUAGUCUCUUCGGAGCAUCUUUCAAGGUGCUGCAUGGUUGUCGUCAGCUCGUGCCGUGAGGUGUCGGGUUAAGUCCCAUAACGAGCGCAACCCCUAUCGUUAGUUGCUAGCAGGUAAUGCUGAGGACUCUAGCGAGACUGCCACCGUAAGGUGAGAGGAAGGUGGGGAUGACGUCAAAUCAGCACGGCCCUUAUGUCCAGGGCUACACACGUGUUACAAUGGUCGGUACAAAGGGCAGCUACCUGGCAACAGGAUGCCAAUCCCUAAAGCCGAUCCC
rnacentral:rRNA from 1 species